rnacentral:snRNA from 1 species
CUGGGACAAGUUCCAUUCUC